CCUACGUGAGGCAGCAGUGGGGGAUAUUGCACAAUGGGGGAAACCCUGAUGCAGCGACGCCGCGUGUGGGAAGACGGUCCUCUGGAUUGUAAACCACUGUCCCCAGGGACGAAGAUGAAGGUACCUGGGGAGGAAGCUCCGGCUAACUACGUGCCAGCAGCCGCGGUAAUACGUAGGGAGCGAGCGUUGUUCGGAAUUACUGGGUGUAAAGGGAGCGUAGGCGGGACUGCAAGUUGGGGGUCAAAUCUACCGGUUCAACCGGUAGCCGCACUCAAAACUGCAGUUCUUGAGUGAAGUAGAGGCAGGCGGAAGUCCUAGUGUAGCGGUGAAAUGCGUAGAUAUUAGGAGGAACACCAGUGGCGAAGGCGGCCUGCUGGGCUUUUACUGACGCUGAGGCUCGAAAGUGUGGGGAGCAAACAGGAUUAGAUACCCGUGUAGUC
rnacentral:rRNA from 1 species